rnacentral:rRNA from 1 species
GAUGAACGCUGGCGGCGUGCCUAAUACAUGCAAGUCGAGCGAACAGACGAGGAGCUUGCUCCUCUGACGUUAGCGGCGGACGGGUGAGUAACACGUGGAUAACCUACCUAUCAGACUGGGAUAACUUCGGGAAACCGGAGCUAAUACCGGAUAAUAUAUUGAACCGUGUGGUUCAAUAGUGAAAGACGGUUUUGCUGUCACUUAUAGAUGGUUCCGCGCGGCAUUAGCUAGUUGGUAAGGUAACGGCUUAUCAAGGCGACGAUGCGUGGCCGACCUGAGAGAGUGAUAGGCCACAUUGGAACUGAGACAGGCACCAGACUCCUACGGGAGGCAGCAGUAGGGAAUCUUACGCAAUAGGCGAAAGCAUGGCGGAGCAAGGGGACGUGAGUGGUGGCGAUCUCGGGAGCGUGAAAAUCGGUUAUUGGGGAAAAACAAAUGUGUAAGUAGCUAUGCACGUAUUGACGGUACCUAGUCAGAAAGCCACGGCUAACUACGUG